UACGUAGGGUGCAAGCGUUGUCCGGAAUUAUUGGGCGUAAAGAGCUCGUAGGCGGUCUGUUGCGUCGGCUGUGAAAACCCGGGGCUCAACUCCGGGCCUGCAGCCGAUACGGGCAGACUAGAGUUCGGCAGGGGAGACUGGAAUUCCUGGUGUAGCGGUGAAAUGCGCAGAUAUCAGGAGGAACACCGAUGGCGAAGGCAGGGUCUCUGGGCAUUAACUGACGCUGAGGAGCGAAAGCAUGGGGAGCGAACAGG
rnacentral:rRNA from 1 species